UCCCCACCCAAGUGGAUGUCUUUCAGAUGGGAAAUGCUCUGAGAUCCUUAGCGAAAGGUGGAAAUAUCAAGAAGAGUGUGCAUAGGAAACAAGGUUCAUCUCUAAGGUGAAAUGGAAGGACUGUGGAUAUGAAACAAAUUUCAGGAAAGGAGCAGACCACACUCGUUGGAAUUGCUCUGAAAGUGUUCCAGCUGAAAUUUCAGAUCGGACAGACUCGCUGCGGCUCCGGAG
rnacentral:lncRNA from 1 species